rnacentral:rRNA from 1 species
AUUGAACGCUGGCGGCAGGCCUAACACAUGCAAGUCGAACGAGUGGCGGACGGGUGAGUAAUGUCUGGGCAACUGCCUGAUGGAGGGGGAUAACUACUGGAAACGGUAGCUAAUAACGCAUACCCUCGGUUGUGCUCACAUGGGAUUAGCUCGUAGGUGGGGUAAAGGCUCACCUAGGCGACGAUCCCUAGCUGGUCUGAGAGGAUGACCAGCCACACUGGAACUGAGACACGGUCCAGACUCCUACGGGAGGCAGCAGUGGGGAAGAGUGGACAAUGGGCGCAAGCCUGAUGCAGCCAUGCCGCGUGUAUGAAGAAGGCCUUCGGGUUGUAAAGUACUUUCAGCGGGGAGGCGUUACCCGCAGAAGAAGCACCGGCUAACUCCGUGCCAGCAGCCGCGGUAAUUC